CUCAAAUGGUCAGGGAAUCAAGAGAUGGAGGAAUGAGGAGAGGGAAAGGGGAGAAAAAAAGACUUAGGAGUGUUUGUACGUGUGCCAACUCUGCACUAGGAACGUAAAUACCAUGUUCUGCAAACAUGUACUAAUAAAAUUAAUGACGUCACAGCAUUCAGGGCUGCAAACCACUGGCUAAAGCAUAAUCCUUCUGUCACAAAUGUAAAUGAAGUGCUGGGGUGUAGCUCAGUCACAAAGGCCCUGCGUGGGUGCCACACCCAGAACCAGGCCCUGGGUCCCACUCACAGCACUACAAAAACCAACAAAUGGGCCGGGGAUGUAGCUCAGGAGCACCCUAUAAAUGAGCGUUCACAGAAAGUAAAAGUGAAGAGUGGGAGAGAAACUGGCUCUGCAGAGCAAGCUUGUGCCAAGGAAAGAGAAAAAGAGGUGAAAUGGAGCAAGAAUCAACUGAUACAGAUACCGGGAAUGCAGACAAAAGAGGUGACAAGAGUGGCCUGCCACAC
rnacentral:lncRNA from 1 species